CAGUAACGGCGAGUGAAGCGGCAACAGCUCAAAUUUGAAAUCUGGCCCCCAGGGCCCGAGUUGUAAUUUGCAGAGGAUGCUUUUGGCGCGGUGCCUUCCGAGUUCCCUGGAACGGGACGCCAUAGAGGGUGAGAGCCCCGUCUGGUCGGACACCAAGCCAGUGUAAAGCUCCUUCGACGAGUCGAGUAGUUUGGGAAUGCUGCUCUAAAUGGGAGGUAUAUGUCUUCUAAAGCUAAAUACCGGCCAGAGACCGAUAGCGCACAAGUAGAGUGAUCGAAAGAUGAAAAGCACUUUGAAAAGAGGGUUAAACAGUACGUGAAAUUGUUGAAAGGGAAGCGUUUAUGACCAGACUUGGGCCCGGUGAAUCAUCCAGCGUUCUCGCUGGUGCACUUUGCCGGGCUCAGGCCAGCAUCAGUUCGUCGCGGGGGAUAAAAGCUUCGGGAACGUGGCUCCCUCGGGAGUGUUAUAGCCCGUUGCAUAAUACCCUGCGGUGGACUGAGGUUCGCGCUCCGCAAGGAUGCUGGCGUAAUGGUCAUCAGCGACCCGUCUUGAAACACGGACCAAGGAGUCGUCUUCGUAUGCGAGUGUUCGGGUGUAAAACCCCUACGCGUAAUGAAAGUGAACGCAGGUGAGAGCUUCGGCGCAUCAUCGACCGAUCCUGAUGUUCUCGGAUGGAUUUGAGUAAGAGCAUACGGGGCCGGACCCGAAAGAAGGUGAACUAUGCCUGUAUAGGGUGAAGCCAGAGGAAACUCUGGUGGAGGCUCGCAGCGGUUCUGACGUGCAAAUCGAUCGUCAAAUAUGGGCAUGGGGGCGAAAGACUAAUCGAACCUUCUAGUAGCU
rnacentral:rRNA from 1 species